GCCUCCAUAGCUCAGGGGUUAGAGCACUUGUCUUGUAAACAAGGGGUCGAGAGUUCGAAUCUCUCUGGAGGCA
rnacentral:tRNA from 1 species